GUGGGGAAUAUUGGACAAUGGGCGCAAGCCUGAUCCAGCAAUGCCGCGUGCAGGAAGAAGGCCUUCGGGUUGUAAACUGCUUUUGUACGGAACGAAACGGUCCUGGCUAAUAUCCGGGGCUAAUGACGGUACCGUAAGAAUAAGCACCGGCUAACUACGUGCCAGCAGCCGCGGUAAUACGUAGGGUGCGAGCGUUAAUCGGAAUUACUGGGCGUAAAGCGUGCGCAGGCGGUGCUGUAAGACAGGCGUGAAAUCCCCGGGCUCAACCUGGGAAUUGCGCUUGUGACUGCAGUGCUGGAGUACGGCAGAGGGGGAUGGAAUUCCGCGUGUAGCAGUGAAAUGCGUAGAUAUGCGGAGGAACACCGAUGGCGAAGGCAGUCCCCUGGGCCUGUACUGACGCUCAUGCACGAAAGCGUGGGGAGCAAACAGGAUUAGAUACCCGAGUAGUCC
rnacentral:rRNA from 1 species